CGACUCUCGGCAACGGAUAUCUCGGCUCUCGCAUCGAUGAAGAACGUAGCGAACUGCGAUACUUGGUGUGAAUUGCAGAAUCCCGUGAACCAUCGAGUCUUUGAACGCAAGUUGCGCCCGAAGCCAUUCGGCCGAGGGCACGUUUGCCUGGGUGUCACAC
rnacentral:rRNA from 3 species